rnacentral:sRNA from 10 species
AUGUGUGUAGGAGGAAUUGAUUUACUCCAGUGGAAACAAGGAAACACUUGAUUUAAAUCAAUUUUAAA